UGGGGUGUAGCUCAGAGGUAGAGUAUAUGGUUUGCAUGCAUGUGGCUCUAGAUUUAAUCUCCAGCACCAAAA
rfam:Fukomys damarensis contig92033, whole genome shotgun sequence.